ensembl:lncRNA
CUUAAUUUCCUUGCCUCCGUCACAAUAUGUAUGUGAGAAGGCACAGCUGAGCCCUUGGGGCUACGUAUGAGAAGGGAGAGGGAAGAUCUCCUGGGCUGAGUGUGUUUAAGCAAUUUCCCUCUGUGCGGAUGUGGACUCCUGGGGUUGUUGGUGUCAGGUUCUCUACUGCUGCAAUGGGGAUUGCUGGGGUGAACUGGGAUUUGAAGAGGAUUGAAGCUGGCUCUGAGGAAGGUGACCUGAACCCAGCACCAGCUAGACGCAAGGUUGGGUUUGGUGCCAUCUGUGCCAAGGGUAGAUGACACUCACAAUGGCAAGCAAGGGGGAUUGAAGAGCUCUGCUCCUCGGCUUGUGAGACAGAAUGACCGCAGGUGCUGAGAGAGAGCAGGAAAUCAUCUUUGUAAAGCUGUCCAGAAAGCCUUGAAUUCAGCCUUAUCUGGAGGAUUACCCCACGCAGUUCAGUUCUUGGCAUUCAGCUCCUCUGCAGUCCCCAGCUUCAGCACAGGAAACUCCUUCACCUAGCUGCUGCCAGCAUGCUUUUGGCGACCCUGGCUGUCCCGUCAGCUGUUACAGGCCAUUAAAGGAUUUGUUUCUCGGCGUAUGAAAAGGCUUAAUUCAAUUCUCAUUCUCUUCUGGCAUUCCUCGGAGAGCCUUCUAGGCUGUCAUCUACUUCUGGCUUCGCUCAGACUCUGCAGUCCAAAGAGUCAUGUGCAGUGACCCGCCACCAUCCCUGCUUCAGACUCCAGAGUCAGGUAGUUAGAUGAUUCCCUUUCAUGUAAGUACUUUUUUAUCUUUCUUAUCUGUGGAGGGAAGCCAGCACAAGUCAUCUUUGAAGGUAAGGAAAAUGGAACCAAUGUUUUGUAUCCCAGAAAUCUCAUUAUUUUCCAACUAAUCUGCUGACCUCGAAUGCAGGGGUUUGGCAGUUUCUUUAAGGGCUGUUGCUAAACAGAGCAGAAGCAGGUCCAUCUUGGGAAAGUCUGCAUGGGUACAAUAUGAAUUUUCUGUAAGGUGAAUUCUUUGGGCUGUGUCAGAAUGAGACACUGUGGGUGACUUGCCUUUGUCUCAAGCUUGAUGGUAGUUGCCUUUGUCUCAAGCUUGAUGGUAGAUUUCACAAGAGGAAAAAAGUGUGUUUAAGAAGUUACUUGAUGCUGAUCUGUCCAGAGUUUUUUUCCCAGGCUGGAUUUAGGGAAGGAUUAUCUCAGAUUUUCAUUUAGUUCUGAAAUCCUGGGUAUUGGUUUUAUAAACUAAACCCCCUUCGCAGCAGGUUGCUUGUUCUGUAUUGUUGUUUUAGCUUGGUGCAUAGAAAGGAAUUUAAAUUCACUGACAGGGUGGGGCUAGCUCCUCGCUGGGGUAAAUCAGCAUAGUUCAGAUAUUUAAAGGCAGAUGCAUCAGUCCUGGCAGCCGAGGAUCUGGCUUACUUUGAUUAAAAUCUGAUGAAGAUUACUCAGCCUUACCAAGGGACUUGGAUUACCAUUCUAUAAAAAGAAGGGCAGGAGAGCAGAGGACAUUAAAUAUAAAAAUAAUCCAACGAAGGAUGUGAAGCUAAAAGCGUGGCACGUUGAACAAUGAUGCAAACACCCUACUGAAACAGGUGGAGGGCCGCAGGGCUGGUGGGUGCACGCAAGGCUGGAAGCUAGGUUUGAGUCAGAAAGACAUUGCUCUUGUCACAGCCCUGGUCUUGUCUUUUAAAGGCAGAAUGUUCAGAAAGAGAGCCUCGCUCCUUAGAAAAUCCCCAGCGGAGUCUUGCAGGAGAAGAAGUGGGUGACAAAUCCUCUGCCUCUGCUUCCUCGGGGACCCAGGCUAGUGCCAAAUCUCACUACAAAGAGGUGAUUAGAGCUGAGGAACAGAAAGUCAGCUCUUACAGAUCUGAAAGCUUGAAAUGUGCAUCGUCUUUAGGGUUUCUUACAGAGGUUGAACUUCACCUCUCCCUUCUAUCGCAGCGUUCGUUUUCCUGGUUCUUUGUUCCUUUGAAAGCAUGAAGUGUAUUUAGGGGCUGUUAUUACUCCACGUGAUUGUGCUCCAUGGGCAGUGACCGAUAGAAGGGCUGCAAUGAGCCCUUUUUUUUUUUGGCCUUUUAAACGUUUCUGUCAAACCUUUCAGCACAUGUCUAGCUUUCCCAAGAUUUCGUAUCCAGUCCCUUAAAAUCAAUACAGUCUGGUCUUGCCUCUGCAGUGGAGCUAUUGAUAGGGAAGAUGCACUUGGGUCUUCAUCUAACUGCCUUUUGAAGCCCCUAAACCCAUUUGUCUCUUCUUUUGAUGGAGCUUGCUGCCUUGCUCAAUGGCUUGCUUGCAUAGGAAGCACCUUCCUUGCUGACCUCUGUUAAAAACGUGGAAGGUCUUCAAGUAGAGUUGCAGGACUUGUGAUUUGAGUGUCCUUCUUUACCCAGACCAAGGAGAACAGAGUGCAUGGUGCGUUGGCCAUUCUGGAAUCUGUCUAGGGUGGCUGGAAGAUGCUUUAAUGGUGUCAGAAGGCUCCGGGAGCCUGGACAGUGAGGUUGAGCGGCCUUAAGAACGUUGCUGACUUAAACUGACGCAUCUAAAUGCGCUGGAGGAAAGACGAGAGGGCUGUUUGGGGACCUCCUGGGUGAUUACAUACAUGGCUGGUCAGCGACAUCGCCUGAGUGCCCCGGCAGCUAUGCCAGUCUUCCAGUUUUCUUUCAUUGCAGUUCGGGUCGGAUGAGGAUAAGAUUGUGUUUUAAUAAGUGUUUGUUAGGGAGUGCUUCCCCCCCCGCCUCCCACCCGCAUGAAACUGUUUAUUUUCCUUGCAGUAACACGUGUGUUGCUCAGCUUCUGCUGUUCCAUGUGUCGUGCUCUGUUACUCUGCCUUGCUCGCAGCCGCAGAGCAGGGGGAACGCUGCCAAGGCUUUUUCUGGGAAUUUGCUCUGGUCGUGCUGCUUCCCCGGGAGCACUCAGCGGAUGCAUGUUGUUUGCAGGGGGGGGGGAACACUCAAAUGUCAGCAUCUGAAGGGAUCACGAAGGAAGCAAGGCGAGCACCAACUACUCUUCCACCUCUCAGAGGUGCCUGCAUACACACAGCCUUGAUGCAACCCUGCUGCAGAUUAUAGACGUGUUUUGGUUGAGAUUCUCUGUGCUUGAUGCAUUGUCUGCCUGCAACGCAGGGCAAACUCUACUCCUCCCUUCUGGCCCGGCCUGUAAUGAUGGAUUAAGUAGAGACAGAAAACUUUGGGAACGUGAACUGAACCCUUACAUUUCUUCAGUGCAAAUGCUGUUGCCCUGUUUUUUGAUGAGGAGAGGAAGGUGCUGAGUCUUUCCUGUCCUGGCCGUGUCCAUGGACCGAGCUGUCAUACCAUUCUGAGAGCUGGAGGAAGGAAAGGGACUGAGUCUGCCCUCAGAAUUCAGGUCCUUCUCCAGGACUCUGGGAACCUGCCUGCGUGUGAUUGACGGCAUCACGUGAGCGUGUAUGGGGCUGCAUCUCAUGCUGUCGGGUCAGAGAUUACCUCCAAGCAGCCAAUACUCAAUGUUCAGUUAGAAAAGAUGCAAAGAAGCAGAGCCAUUCCCCUCUCUGUGUCAUCUGCCUCUGAGAGUGGGAGAGUGCUGGCAGAGCGCUACCGGGUCUGUACUGGUAUAGAGAGGAAGGCUCAGAUUUGAUGAUUUGUCCAUUAUCUGGUGGUGGAUACAGCCUAACCUGGGCUCAGAGCAUCCCAAGGUCUGUAUCCUAGUGCAGGAACUGGCUGCUGCUGCUCUCUUCUGAAUAGACAGCUUUCUCCAGCCUCACAGCAUGCUAAUGUAGGCCAGUCACCUUCACCACAACUCCUGGCGCAAGAUAUUCAGCAGACUUGAUGCUUCAUAGUAGGCUGAAUCUGGUAUAACCAAGGCAGAAUUUCUACCUGCCAGUAGUGAAGUAAUGCCCUGUGAUUUCAAGUGACCACUGGUUUGACAGCAGUAGUGAAAGGGAAAGGCAUGAAUAGGCCAGAUAUCAGGAAAACCUUCUCAGGAGUGAUGAGGCUGUGAAAUGGACUGCCCAGGGAGGUGGUGGAGUCACUGUCCCUGGAGGUGUUCAAGAACUGUGGAGACGUGGCACUGAGGGACGUGGUUUAGUGAGCAAUAAUGGUUGAUGGGUGGACAGCUGGAUUAGAUGGGUCCGACUAGAGGUCCUCCAAUUAGAGGUCUUUUCCAAUCUAAAUGAUUCUAUGAAAGCAGUCGACCGUUUUCUUGCAGUCUCUGAGAAGCUUGGAUAUGGUGUCUGAAACGAGCUAAGGAAGCCACCUAAUCUCUGAGCACAUCCACCUUCUGCAGCAUACACCCUUCCAGCCACAAAGAGGUCCUGAGUCCCUCAGUGGCUGCAAAGAACAGCAGGUAGAUGGAGCAGACAGAGAUGGAGAGCAUUCUUUUGUUGCUUUUUUUUGGGGGGGGGGGGAGUAUCGUUGAAGAAUCAGGGUGACAAAAAUAUUUUGAUGGAAGUGACUAUGUGAAAUAUCUUUUCAUUUUGAUUAUUUGAAAAACAAAAACUGUUCAUGGGUUUUAAAAUUCAUGUCCCCUCCGGGUUGCUUUGUUUUGUUUUGUUUCUUAUUCCUUCUCCCUUAUUCCUCAGAGGAAGCCAUCCAAACCUACACGGUGCGUCAUUUCUUGAGGAAAUGCAGUGUGAUCUUUUUUUCCAGUUUAACCUGGGCUGAAAAAUCUUCUGGUGUUUCAUUUGCCUGAGAAAUCGGGAAAAAAAAAGCUUGGAUGAAACAGGAAUCUGGCUGGUUCACAGGGAACCUUCUUGGUUUUGGAGACCCACUUGGGUGGGGUAGCUGCAGGAGCUCUUUGUUGUGCAGGCUGGGGAGGAGGUGAUGCCAUCUUUGCCUGGGCCAUACUUUGUGCCCAAUGCCUCCUCCAGGGGUGAGGGGCAUAAGGGGUGCAGAGCUGUGUCUUGGUUGCAGCAGGGAACUGCUACCACUGAAGUAUGAUUCUCAGCUUUCUGGAGUUGUGGAAAACAUCUGGACAAUGGUUGAAAUUGGAAGAGCGAAGGGCUAUCCUGGCUUUUGAGGGCAUAUCAUGGGAUGUCCCGCAGGUGGCUUGUUGGAGGUGAACCACAGAGGGAGGACUGCACUGGAGAGGCAUAGAGGCUCACAUGGGACGGGAGUGGUGGCAACUGCCUGUAUGCCUGGAAGCAGGGCAAGCAGUGGACUGGGGGUGGAGGAGACCACCUCCGCCUGUUGCUGCCAUCUCCACGAGCUGCCAGCUCUGCCGUGUAGCUUUGCCCAGAUCUGCAGUAGAGCUGCUCAUCCCCAGCCCUGCCAUCCCUGUGCCCCACAUGCUGCCUCUCCUAUAAAUAGCCGGAUGGGAAGCAGAGCGCAGAGCCGCCGCAGAUGGCCCCCAGUUCCACGCGCACUCAUGUGUGAGAUCCCAGAGAGGGGCUGUCAAUUCCUUGCCUACAGCCACCCAUGCAACCUCAUUAAGGAUGGUGUCGUCUUCCUUAACCCCCAUCGCCCCCUCCCUCCCCACUUCAACGUGCCUCCAUUUGAGCACCCUUAUUAAACGUGCACUUCUAAGCAAGGAGCGCUGACUUCCCCUUAAUUGAGGCAUAAUAAUUAGAGCAUUAACACAUUAGGAGGGUGAGACAGCAUGUUUAGCUUUUGUGAUUAAUUAUCUGAGGAUUGUAAUAAGUUGUUAAGACAUUAAUUACUCUGGCAUGUUUAUUGCUCUUUAUUGCAGAACUGACACUUGGUGGAAGAGUUGCUGGUGUGCCUGGCGGUGCACCGUGAGGUGGGCUGGCCAGGGGAGACCUCUGCUCCCCCAUAGGCACUGAGCUGCUGCUUGGGAAUGGAUCUAGGGGAGCAGAAACAGCUCCUGAACCUCCAGCAGGACACCUCGGGAUGGAAGUGGUGUCUGAAUCUCUUAGAGUCGUAGGAUUAUGAAGGUUGGAAUAAAACACUGAGAGCAUCAGCCCAUCCCCACCGUGCCCACUAAACCAUGUCCCUCAAUGCCGCGUUCUCCCUCAUCUUGGGGCAGCCUGGGAGCUGGAAGGCUUAUUUUUAUGGAUGGUUUCAGCUGGAUUUCUCUCUUCUUUCAAACAAAGUGUUUCCUCUCGGAUGGUUUGAGCCUGCCCUCAUUUGGAUCUUUGUUUUUGCAAAUCCAAGUCAGCGUGGCUCAUUGUGCCUGGAUCUGAGGAGGAUGGCUGUCUGUUAACGACAAGCUGAAGUUCAGCGUGUCGGCGGUGGUCAGGGAGUGAACCAGGACCCCAGUGGCCUCGCUUGGCUCUUGAUCAGAUGAAUUUUCUUCUGGAGAGCUGGGAGGUGGGUUAGGGAAGGCUGUUGCUGUGGCAGCAGGAGUGGAUCAGCCCUCUGCAGCCUGUUCUUCACACAGCAAGCUGCUCAGCGACCUGUCAGAGCUGUGCUGAUCAGAUGGGGGCUGAAGGCAGAGUUCAGAGCAGGAGGAUGGGUGGGUCCAUGUGCUGCUGUGACAGAGAAAAAAGGAAGCAGGAGGCUGCGAUGGGCCUGUUCCAGCCUUCUGCUUUUCCCAUGAGUUGCACAGUGCCAGAGUCUUGCUGUCCAGCUCUUUGGGUGGGGGACAGCACAGGAGAAAUGGGGGGAAAUGGAGUAACAGCCCCAGCCACUGGCAUGGAGAAUAAAACUGGGAAAAUGGUGAAAGUCGAGAAGGUGAGAAAGCUGUGAGUUUUGUGUGUUUGCUGUUGGUUUGAUAUUGGAUGGCCCCAUCCCUGCCGACAGCCAAGGUCAGGCUGGAUGGGCUCUGAGCACCACUAGGGCUGUGAGUGUCCCUGCUCAGUGCAGGAGGGUUGGACCAGAUGGCCUCUGAGGGUCCUUUCCAGCUCAAAACGAUGCUGUGGUUCCUUGGGGAGCCCUAGAGCUGAAAUGUCUGGUUUCCAGCCUAUGGCAGUGCCCUUGUGGCUUUGCAACACGUGCUUGUGUCUUGGGUAGCAGCCAAGGGAGUGGGAGGGGGUCUUUAAAUGUGAAGACCCUGUCCGGUUCGCCUUUCCUAAGGACAGACUGUCUCACUGUGGCUCCCACCAGCUCAAUCUGCUGUCACUGUGUCACUGGCACUGGUGGCCAGGGAGCUGCACAAGGCACUGAAUGCCCUCCUCGUGUGCGAGCUGGGAUCCAUCUUGUGUCAGCUGCCUUCAGCACCUCCGAGCCCACACUGCCUCGCUGUAGCCCAGCCUGAAUAUGGCAUUUGCUGUCAGGUGGCUGAUUUCUGCCUGCAGAAUAUGGAGAGCGUCAGCCUGGCAUUUCCCACUUGCCUCCUAGGGACAAAGCAGGUCAUGACUUCCGUGUAUUAUCAUUAAAAAGAUAAUUUCCUCUAGAUGUGUGCAAUAAGACAAUGGUGCUGACCUGUGAUCCUGGCAUUGCACAGCAUUAAUGAUUUCCCUUUGCAGGUAAUAAGCAGCAAAUGUACACAUUUUGGGGAGAUCUGAAUUAGUUUUUUUCCCUCCUUUUAAGACUGCUGUCUUCCUAGGCCAGACUUAAUUAGCAGACCUCAUUAUUUCCUGAAAUGUAACUUGACUUCCAUUGAAUGAGAAUUGUUCAGUGGAUGGGGAGCAGCAGAGCGGUGCUGCAAUAUUCAUAUUGUUUAAAUUGCAACAUUAACAUUUCAUGCCGCUCUUGGCAUAUUUUCAGGUGCGGCCCUUUAGCUCAAUGCAGUGCUGUGAAAGGUUGGAUCAGAACAAUUAGGAUACAGCGACUGGAUUUCUGGAUUAUUAUUAUUAUUUUUUUUUUUUAAGCAACACAAGCUUAGAUUCAAUGCCCAUCACUCUCUUUGUUUGGCAGAACAGGGAUUCCAGCGCCCCUGAAGUAAAUGCUUUUCUGGAAUAAAGGAUGUGCUGUAGCACAUGCUCACCUCCUCUCUUAGCAGAGAUGAAGCCCUGCAGGUACAUGCAGUACGUGAUUCGCAGGGCUGGAAGCACCUCCUGGGACUUGACCUUCACUAGCUAAAUAAGAGAACUCCCAAUAAUGCUUCUGGCCACCUAGGCCACAGUCGCACACAAAAAGGCUGUUUCCCACUUUGCCCUUGUUCUUGGAUGCCUCAGGCUGGAGGUGGCACUGUAGUAAUGCCCAGGUCCAAGCAGACCCUACAUGAGCAUGUGGAUUGCACUCCCUAUCUCCAAACAGCCCGUGGGCCUUGGUCCUGCAAGUGACUCCAGUGACCUUUGCUGCCUUGCCCCAUAGUGUGCUUUCCAGUAGUUUUUCCUGUACUGGAGUUCAGUGUCAAUGAUGGGAGUUAAUGUCAAGGAAUCAUAGAAUACCUGGGUUAGAAGGAACCUUAAAGCCCACCCAGUCCCAACCCUACAGUGGGCUGGCUGCCCCUCCCCCACCAGCUUAGGCUGCCCAAGGCCCAAUCCAGCCUUCCUUGAGCACCUCCAAGGAUGGGACACACGUCUGGGAUUGCCAUGAACCAAGUGCAACACCUUGCAUUUGGCCUUAGCAGUGUCAAGAACAACUCCAGCUUCCAUCCUGGAACAACUUAAUUAGGGUCUCUGACUUCAGCCAACCAUGCCUCCCAUUUGUAACGUGUGCAGUGGGAUCCAUGACAUCUUAUCUCCCAUGGAUACGUAGCUUGGGUCAGGGUUCUCUGGUAUCUGGUAAGCUGCUUGUGCUGAACGGAACACCUCCUCUCGUGGGUUAUUUAUAACAUCCUGCUCUCCCACGCAGAUUGUCUGGUGUCUAAUAGUGGAUGAUGCACUACAGUUUGCAAGGUGCUAAUAAUCUCUCUCCUCUGUUUGACAGUCUGUUCCCAUGAGAUUUAUAGACUCUGACUGUCCCUGAGACCUCUGCCUCUCUGUCAGAUCAGGCUGAAAUCUGUUCUCAGUGUCAGAAGCUGCUGCCAAGCAGGCAGGGGAUGGACUGAUGCGUGUGUUUUGCAGCCCAUAAGAACUCAAGCACAGACCUGGGGGGCGAUGGGAGCUCUGAUUGCCAACUUGUGGGUUCAGGAAGGUGAGCCUCCAGGAGAAGGGCCGUGCCCGCAGCCAUCCUGCAUGAGAUGCCGUGCUGCGGGAUGCUCACGGGCUGCACUUCGUGUUCCCAUCGCCUGCGGUGACCAUCACAAGCGGCGCAGCCCCUGUGGGAACGGCCCCUGAGGACAAUAAACGAGCCAGCCCCGAGCUCCAGGCUGCUGUGAAGAAUUGCCUGGCUAAAGGAUAAUGAAUACCGCAGCAGGAGACGGAGCGUUUCUCCGAGGCCAUCCAUCCCCUUUAUCACCCCGCUAACAAGCCCCUGAGCGACUUCAGAGAGGCUUCUGCAGAGCAGCUCAAUCCCUCACCGUGCUGGCGGCUGGGUGCUGGGGGCUCUGCGGGAAGCCACAGCCCCAUCCCACAGAGCAACCGCCAGUGCCCUCCAGGGGUCCAUGUAGUGCCAAGGAGGGGCAGAAGAGCCAGGCAUCCUUUUUUUUUCCAAGGCACUUUUGGGCCCUGCAGCACCCUUUGGAGCAUUGCUUUACCCAGCUCCCAGCCUGGCAAAGAUUUCUGAGAUCUGUGCGAGGCUCAGGAGGAGUUUAGUGCUGCUGGCCAGGAGGUGAGUUGGUUCUGCUUCACUUGCAGCACAGCUGAGUCUGUGCACGAGCCCGAUGCAGGGCAGAGAGGGCAGGAGCGAUGUGCUCUUCCUAAGAGCUAAUAAAAGCUGAUUCCUCCCAUAGCUCCGAGCCAGUGGGAAGCAUUAGUGGCUGGCUGAGUGCCUCCCACGCUGUGCAGCGUGCUGGGUGCUUGUCCUCCUGCGGAGGGAAAGGCAUCUCAGCAAGAACUCAGGCAUCCCUCCUAGGAGGGCAAACCAGGCGUGUAGCUGGGCAGCUGGGCAUGGGAGGCGAGUGGGAGCGCGUGGCACAAAAUUCCCAUUUCUGAGCAAGUUCUCCUGCCUAUGCUCAGGGCUUGGGGUGGGAGCGGCACACUCAUGGCCUGACUGGUGUCCAAAAAGCCCCGGUGCUGAAUGCCUCCAUUGAGAAGCUUACGUGUACGUCAGCAUCCCAAGCGUGCUGGUAUGUGGUGUGCCCACCUGCCUGAGUGUGUCUGGGGCACCGCAUGCAGUGUGUAGGCACUCAGCAGGGCUAAUUGCCAGUAAUUGGAAGGCUUCUUUUGUCUCCUCUUUCCUGCAUUAUUUUGCCUUCUCUUCCAG